UUACCAUUGGGCCUGGUUAGUUAUUUUCCCAAAAUGGAAUACAGUGUACAAUAUUGACUCCAAAGGUUACCAAUCCCCUAGCUGCUAUAGUAUUAAGAAGCUAUUCGACGAGGCUUUUGGUGCUUAUGUCGACAAAAAAGGUCGCCAUAACAAGAAUUUUGGUCGCACAGUUAUAUGGAAACAUUUUCAGGCACACAUACAACCACCUGGCAGUGUGUUUUGCAGACAAUAUGUGAUGUACCACAUGUUAUCCUUUGCGGAUAAUCUUAGUUUGGACCAUGAUCGAUAUCCUCAG